ACCCGCACAAGCGGUGGAUGAUGUGGAUUAAUUCGAUGCAACGCGAAAACCUUACCUACCCCUGACAUGUCCGGAAUCCCGAAGAGAUUUGGGAGUGCUCGCAAGAGAGCCGGAACACAGGUGCUGCAUGGCUGUCGUCAGCUCGUGUCGUGAGAUGUUGGGUUAAGUCCCGCAACGAGCGCAACCCUUGUCAUUAGUUGCUACGAAAGGGCACUCUAAUGGGACUGCCGGUGACAAACCGGGAGGAAGGUGGGGAUGACGUCAAGUCCUCAUGGCCCUUAUAGGUGGGGCUACACACGUCAUACAAUGGCCGGUACAGAGGGUAGCCAACCCGCGAGGGGGAGCCAAUCCCACAAAGCCGGUCGUAGUCCGGAUCGCAGUCUGCAACUCGACUGCGUGAAGUCGGAAUCGCUAGUAAUCGCGGAUCAGCAUGUCGCGGUGAAUACGUUCCCGGGUCUU
rnacentral:rRNA from 1 species